rnacentral:rRNA from 1 species
AGCAGCCGCGGUAAUUCCAGCUCCAAUAGCGUAUAUUAAAGUUGUUGCAGUUAAAAAGCUCGUAGUUGAAUUUCGAGACCGGUUUACUGGUCGUGCUUUUGUACGUACUGGUAUUAUUGGUUUCUCCUUUCUGACGAUUCAUAAUGCCAUUAAUUUGGUGUUUUGGGGAAUCAGGACUGUUACUUUGAAAAAAUUAGAGUGUUUAAAGCAGGCUCACGCUUGAAUACAUUAGCAUGGAAUAACGAAAUAGGACGUUUGAUUUUAUUUUGUUGGUUUCUAGGAUCGACGUAAUGAUUAAUAGGGAUAGUUGGGGGCAUUAGUAUUCAAUUGUCAGAGGUGAAAUUCUUGGAUUUAUUGAAGACUAACUACUGUGAAAGCAUUUGCCAAGGAUGUUUUCAUUAAUCAAGAACGAAAGUUAGGGGAUCGAAGACGAUCAGAUACCGUCGUAGU